rnacentral:rRNA from 1 species
GCUGGCGGCAUGCCUAACACAUGCAAGUCGAACGAUGCUUUCGGGCAUAGUGGCGCACGGGUGCGUAACGCGUGGGAAUCUGCCCUUAGGUUCGGAAUAACAGUUAGAAAUGACUGCUAAUACCGGAUGAUGUCGAUAAGACCAAAUAUUUAUCGCCUGAGGAUGACCCCGCGUAGGAUUAGCUAGUUGGUGUGGUAAAGGCGCACCAAGGCGACUAUCCUUAGCUGGUCUGAGAGGAUGAUCACCCACACUGGGACUGAGACACGGCCCACACUCCUACGGGAGGCAGCAGUGGGGAAUAUUGGACAAUGGGCGCAAGCCUGAUCAGCAAUGCCGCGUGAGUGAUGAAGGCCUUAGGGUUGUAAAGCUCUUUUACCCGGGAUGAUAAUGACAGUACCGGGAGAAUAAGCCCCGGCUAACUCCGUGCCAGCAGCCGCGGUAAUACGGAGGGGGCUAGCGUUGUUCGGAAUUACUGGGCGUAAAGCGCACGUAGGCGGCUUUGUAAGUUAGAGGUGAAAGCCUG